ACGGAUGAGGCAGCUUUUCCUCGGGUGAACAGGAACUACAGCCAAUUUGGAUGCAGUUAAGUAUACAAGAUGAACUGAUCUUAGUUCUCUGCUGAUUAUUGCAGUGGAAAUACAAAUAAGUGUGUAUACCAAUUUUGAACAUGUGAGUAUUUUGAUAUGAUGACUUAUUGAAGCUAUUGGCACACUUGGGUAGGAUUCAGUGUGCAAAUUGAAACACAGCUCUCCUUCAAAGUUUUCACUUGCCCAAAGUCUGCAAUGCAGUUUUCUAACAAUUGCUUUUGGGAAAUGUGCGUAUUGCACAAAAACAGUAAAAAUGCACAUAUUAGCAGGAAGUGCGCAUAAAAACAUACCAGCGAAUAUGCCACACGAAACACAUUGUGUUGGAGGGAAAUGCUUGCAAGAGGUGCCUAUUGGAUAGAACUGGAUACAAAAGUGUAUGUUAGGAUAAUUUAACAGUAAAAUGCUGAUAAAUUUUCAUAUGGACAUGGACAGACACACACACACCUGAAGUUGAUGUGGAAAUGUGGUAAACCAAACUUCAUAUAGGAAAACAGAGAAACAGCUAAAAUUGCAUUGCUUUAUCAUGCAUGCCAACCAUAGCUUUAGUGAAAUCCAGCAAGCCAAUGCUUAUACACUGAUGAGAUGAUGAUUUUUUCUGUAAAGGAAAGCCCCAGAGUGGGGGGAGAUGCUAAAAAUUGGUUCAUCAUAGGGUGCAGGUGUUAAGUUGUGGGUGAACGUAUCAGACGACACAGCGAUUCUUCAACAGCUCUUGUUUAUUCACAGGCCAGAACAGAACAGAACAGAACUGAAGGGUUCAGCCAGCCUGCUUAUACAGAGCUCCACUACAACGCAACAGUAACAACUUUCCAGUCACUGAACGUGACUUUCAAUUCCUUAUUUGCAUAUGUGGACCUGAGUGAAAACUAUCUACCGUAUCCCCCUGCUGGCCCAGAGUGAAAACUUCAGUACAUAACAGCAGGCACAAUGUACAGCCUCAUCUUUACACAGUUCAGGU
rnacentral:lncRNA from 1 species